UGCCAGCCGCCGCGGUAAUACGGAGGGGGCUAGCGUUGUUCGGAAUUACUGGGCGUAAAGCGCACGUAGGCGGACUAUUAAGUCAGGGGUGAAAUCCCGGGGCUCAACCCCGGAACUGCCUUUGAUACUGUUUAUCUAGAGUCCGAGAGAGGUUAGUGGAAUUCCCAGUGUAGAGGUGAAAUUCGUAGAUAUUAGGAGGAACACCAGUGGCGAAGGCGACUCUCUGGACAGUUACUGACGCUGAGGAACGAAAGCGUGGGGAGCAAACCGGAUUAGAUA
rnacentral:rRNA from 1 species